rnacentral:rRNA from 1 species
AUACGGAGGAUGCAAGCGUUAUCCGGAUUCAUUGGGUUUAAAGGGUGCGCAGGCGGAGAUAUAAGUCAGUGGUGAAAAACUGCCGCUCAACGGUAGUCUUGCCAUUGAUACUGUUUCUCUUGAGUAUGGAUGAGGUAGGCGGAAUGUGCAGUGUAGCGGUGAAAUGCAUAGAUAUUGCACGGAACACCAAUUGCGAAGGCAGCUUACUGGGCCAUUACUGACGCUCAGGCACGAAAGCGUGGGGAUCAAACAGGAUUAGAUACCCUGGUAGUCCACGCAGUAAACGAUGUUCACUCGCUGUUUGCGAUAUACUGUAAGCGGCUUAGUUAAAGCAUUAAGUGAACCACCUGGGGAGUACGAUCGCAAGGUUGAA